AAUUCAGGAUCUGUCCUCAGGUAACUGUGUGGUCUCGUUUAUCAGAAAUAAUGGGAGACGUGUCAGUCGCGCGGAUUCAAGAGGACCAAGAUGGGAUAAUAAUCAUAGGGAAACUGAAGAUUGUGAACUGCAAGGAGAUGAUUCGGGCUCUGAGUUGCGGCGAUUCUCAUACCGGUUUACUGUCUGAAGAGGGCCGGGUUCUCUGCUUGGACAAAGCCAAUAUUCCCAGACCAUUGGAUAACCUAUGUAACCGACAGGUAACUCAGGUUGCAUGUGGAGACCAGCAUUCAAUUUCACUAACACAGGUUAAAUGACCAUGAACACACCACUAAUCACUCAAGUUUCACAAUACAACUUAACCAAAAUGGUCUAACCUUUCAACAAGUGUAAUCCUGUGCAAUGUUCUCACUUUGCUCUGUCCCUUUCUGGAGCUGUGUUCAGCUGGAGCAAGAACACCGCCGGGCAACUGGGACUA